rnacentral:rRNA from 1 species
GACGAACGCUGGCGGCGUGCCUAACACAUGCAAGUCAACUUGACUGAAGGAGCAAUCUGACAGUAGAGUGGCGCAAGGGUGCGUAACGCGUAAGUAACUUGCCCAAGGUAAGGAAUAACGUCGAGAAAUCGGCGCUAAUACCUCAUAAUGCAGCGGAUCCGCAUGGAUAUGUUGUUAAAGGUUUACCGCCUUGGGAUAGGCUUGCGUCUGAUUAGUUAGUUGGUGUGGUAACGGCACACCAAGGCUACGAUCAGUAACUGGUCUGAGAGGAUGAUCAGUCACACUGGAACUGAGACACGGUCCAGACUCCUACGGGAGGCAGCAGUGAGGAAUAUUGGGCAAUGCUCGAAAGAGUGACCCAGCAACGCCGCGUGGAGGAUGAAGGUAUUCUAUAUCGUAAACUCCUGUGAGAGCAGACGAAAGACAGAUUACUAAUCUGGAUGACUGUAUGCUCAGAGGAAGCCCCGGCUAACUACGU